GGGGUCGACUGGUUUUGACAGCAGGCCGAAGGUUGAUGUAAGCAUGUCGAGCGCUGAAGGGGCAGCUCGUUAAUACACCGCUUCAUUUUUUAUAACUGGCGAAGAUUCUUACGCUUUAGCCGCUUAAUCUGACAGGAUGUCGAUUAUGCUAAUCCUACACUAGGUGUAGGAGCUGAACAUCUCGCAAGAGCCCCUGUCCUGAGGCGCUUGAUCACGAGGUGUGGAAAAUUCAGGAAUGCAAUUAGUCUUCGCCUUGCGGACUAGUUCAAGUUUAGAGGCUAAGCCAUGAUUAGGGUGCUUGUGCUCAGAGAUUGGUCAAAAAUUUAAUCACAAGCUAAACAUGUAGAAAGCCUCAGGCUUCCUUGUUUGGACGCGGGUUCGAUUCCCGCCGACUCCACUU
rnacentral:tmRNA from 1 species